rnacentral:rRNA from 1 species
AGAGUUUGAUCCUGGCUCAGAUUGAACGCUGGCGGCAUGCCUUACACAUGCAAGUCGAACGGCAGCACGGGAGCAAUCCUGGUGGCGAGUGGCGAACGGGUGAGUAAUAUAUCGGAACGUGCCCAGUCGUGGGGGAUAACGCAGCGAAAGCUGUGCUAAUACCGCAUACGAUCUCUGGAUGAAAGCGGGGGACCUGCAAGGGCCUCGCGCGAUUGGAGCGGCCGAUAUCAGAUUAGCUAGUUGGUGGGGUAAAAGCUCACCAAGGCGACGAUCUGUAGCUGGUCUGAGAGGACGACCAGCCACACUGGAACUGAGACACGGUCCAGACUCCUACGGGAGGCAGCAGUGGGGAAUUUUGGACAAUGGGCGCAAGCCUGAUCCAGCAAUGCCGCGUGCAGGAUGAAGGCCUUCGGGUUGUAAACUGCUUUUGUACGGAACGAAAAGGCUCUUUUUAAUAAAGAGGGCUCAUGACGGUACCGUAAGAAUAAGCACCGGCUAACUACGUGCCAGCAGCCGCGGUAAUACGUAGGGUGCGAGCGUUAAUCGGAAUUACUGGGCGUAAAGCGUGCGCAGGCGGUUUUGUAAGACAGAUGUGAAAUCCCCGGGCUCAACCUGGGACCUGCAUUUGUGACUGCAAGGCUAGAGUACGGUAGAGGGGGAUGGAAUUCCGCGUGUAGCAGUGAAAUGCGUAGAUAUGCGGAGGAACACCGAUGGCGAAGGCAAUCCCCUGGACCUGUACUGACGCUCAUGCACGAAAGCGUGGGGAGCAAACAGGAUUAGAUACCCUGGUAGUCCACGCCCUAAACGAUGUCAACUGGUUGUUGGGUCUUUACUGACUCAG